GAGAAGGGGAGGGGAACAGUAUUAGCUGCUGCACACGGGACUGAAAAUCCUGCAAAUGUGAUGAUCUGAAGACAGCAAAACACUAUCAGGGUCGCCCCUCAUGGAUCCCGCACAUGUUCAUCUGUAUGAUACAGACUUUGUGAAGAAUGGUCGGGCGGUCACCGUUUUAUGGGCGUCCUGCACUUUGUUCCUCGGGAUCCUGGAGAUUGUUGUGCUCCUGCAGCCCACCUGGGUGUUAGGUGGGGAGGGCAGUGGCCAUUUUGGACUGUACCAGCUUUGUGAAGAGACAGAUUGGGGUACAGAAUGUCGGGGUCCUCAGGGUAUCCUGGAGGCUCUGCCACCAUUCCAGACUGCGGCUGGCUUCAUGCUGGGGGCGCUGCUCUUGGUUCUGCUCAGCCUGGCCUCCAUCAUUCUGCUGUGGUUCUGUCACUCCGGGACGGUCUACAAGCUCUGCGCCUGGCUGCAACUCACUGCUGCUUUCUGCCAGGCUCUGGCCUGUAUCCUGUUCCCGGACGGCUGGGACUCGCCCACUGUGCGCCCCUUUUGUAACUACCGCUCAGACAGAUACGAGCUGGGAACCUGCUCGGUGCAUUGGGGCUUCAUCUUGGCCAUAUUGGGCACCUUCGAUUGCCUGGUUCUCUCCAUUUUGGGGUUCACCCUCGGGAAACGUCAUGAUGCUUUGAACCCCAGUGAAGCUAAACCCAGCAAGAAAGAGUCAGCUAGAGCGGGUGGACUUCUAUGAUGAUAUGGCCGCCUGGUGGGAGGAUGUCAAGGAUGAGAUCAGAACCCUCUUAAAGAGACUGUCCUUUAAAAAGGGGAGGACAGAAUUGACGGUGGCAGAGGUCAAAGAGGCCAUUGAUAAGUUACAUCUGAAGAAGGCACCAGGUCCGGAUGGGAUAACAGCAGAAUUCUAUAAGACAUUCAGAGACCUCUUGGCCCCAAUCCUCGUGGAUGUUUACACAAAUUGUCUAGAAAGUCACCUGAUGCCUCCAUCCAUGAGAGUGUCCUCGCUGAUUCUGCUGUCUAAAGGAUUCCCUCCGGAGACCAUGUGAUCACUGACCUUAUACGCCGCUCAUCAUUGAGGAUCCGCCUCGUAUGGAUUCAGUGUCUGUGGAUAUUUUGCGCCUCUAUUGUCAAAUGUUUUAUUCUGUCAUAAUAAAAAAUAAUUGUUUAUGAAGUGUG